rnacentral:rRNA from 1 species
AGUGAACGCUGGCGGUAGGCCUAACACAUGCAAGUCGAACGGCAGCACAGUAAGAGCUUGCUCUUACGGGUGGCGAGUGGCGGACGGGUGAGGAAUACAUCGGAAUCUACUUUUUCGUGGGGGAUAACGUAGGGAAACUUACGCUAAUACCGCAUACGACCUACGGGUGAAAGCAGGGGAUCUUCGGACCUUGCGCGAUUGAAUGAGCCGAUGUCGGAUUAGCUAGUUGGCGGGGUAAAGGCCCACCAAGGCGACGAUCCGUAGCUGGUCUGAGAGGAUGAUCAGCCACACUGGAACUGAGACACGGUCCCGACUCCUACGGGAGGCAGCAGUGGGGAAUAUUGGACAAUGGGCGCAAGCCUGAUCCAGCCAUACCGCGUGGGUGAAGAAGGCCUUCGGGUUGUAAAGCCCUUUUGUUGGGAAAGAAAAGCAGCAGGCUAAUACCCCGCUGUUCUGACGGUACCCAAAGAAUAAGCACCGGCUAACUUCGUG